UUGGAGGGCAAGUCUGGUGCCAGCAGCCGCGGUAAUUCCAGCUCCAAUAGCGUAUAUUAAAGUUGUUGCAGUUAAAAAGCUCGUAGUUGAAUUUCGGGAUCAAAUAAUCGGUCGUGCCUCCGGUACGUACUGGUUUUAUUGGUUCCUCCCUUCUGACGAACCAUGAUGUCAUUAAUUUGAUGUGGUGGAGAAUCAGGACUGUUACCUUGAAAAAAUUAGAGUGUUUAAAGCAGGCUAACGCUUGAAUACAUUAGCAUGGAAUAAUGAAAUAGGACGUUCGACCCUAUUUUGUUGGUUUCUAGGAUCGACGUAAUGAUUAAUAGGGAUAGUUGGGGGCAUUAGUAUUCAAUUGUCAGAGGUGAAAUUCUUGGAUUUACUGAAGACUAACUACUGCGAAAGCAUUUGCCAAGGAUGUUUUCAUUAAUCAAGAACGAAAGUUAGGGGAUCGAAGACGAUCAGAUACCGUCGUAGUCUUAACCAUAAACUAUGCCGACUAGGGAUCGGAUGAUGUUAAUUUUUUAAUGACUCAUUCGGCGCCUUACGGGAAAC
rnacentral:rRNA from 1 species